UAAUAAGUGUUUUAUGGCACUUUUUAAAUCCAUAUCCACCUUGUGUGCAACUGUCAGUCGAUCUUCUUCAUGGAGAUCGACCAAACAUCAACCUUUAUCUUUUAACUCUUUGUCUGAAAAAUAUUAUGAAUAAACAAUUCAAAAUA
rnacentral:misc_RNA from 1 species